GACGAACGCUGGCGGCGUGCCUAACACAUGCAAGUCGAACGAGAUCCAUGGGAGCUUGCUCCCGGAAGAUCUAGUGGCGAACGGGUGAGUAACACGUGAGAAACCUGCCCUGGAGUGGGGAAUAACUCGGGGAAACUCGAGCUAAUACCGCAUACCCUCGGAUGGUCGCAUGGCCGACCGAGGAAUGAUUUAUCGCUCUAGGAGGGUCUCGCGGCCUAUCAGCUAGUUGGUGGGGUAACGGCCUACCAAGGCAACGACGGGUAGCUGGUUUGAGAGAACGAUCAGCCACACUGGGACUGAGACACGGCCCAGACUCCUACGGGAGGCAGCAGUGGGGAAUCUUGCGCAAUGGGCGAAAGCCUGACGCAGCAACGCCGCGUGCGGGAUGACGGCCUUCGU
rnacentral:rRNA from 1 species